rnacentral:tRNA from 1 species
CAAAGUGUAGCUUAAUUAAAGCCUCUCGCUUACACCGAGCGUAUAUCUGUUAGACCCAGAUCACUUUGA